CUACCCGCCACGCGCUCUCGGCUGGCCUGUGUGGCACAACCCUCCCCCCACCUCCCCUUCUUGGUCUUCACGAGUGUGCGAGCCUCCCGGCACUGGCGAGUCCCCCCAG
rnacentral:lncRNA from 1 species